AUUGAACGCUGGCGGCAGGCUUAACACAUGCAAGUCGAGCGGAGAUGAGGUGCUUGCACCUUAUCUUAGCGGCGGACGGGUGAGUAAUGCUUAGGAAUCUGCCUAUUAGUGGGGGACAACGUUCCGAAAGGAAUGCUAAUACCGCAUACGCCCUACGGGGGAAAGCAGGGGAUCUUCGGACCUUGCGCUAAUAGAUGAGCCUAAGUCGGUUUAGCUAGUUGGUGGGGUAAAGGCCUACCAAGGCGACGAUCUGUAGCGGGUCUGAGAGGAUGAUCCGCCACACUGGGACUGGAACACGGCCCAGACCCCUACGGGAGGCAGCAGUGGGGAAUAUUGGACAAUGGGCGGAAGCCUGAUCCAGCCAUGCCGCGUGUGUGAAGAAGGCCUUUUGGUUGUAAAGCACUUUAAGCGAGGAGGAGGCUACCUGGAUUAAUACUCUAGGAUAGUGGACGUUACUCGCAGAAUAAGCACCGGCUAACUCUGUGCCAGCAGCCGCGGUAAUAC
rnacentral:rRNA from 1 species